rnacentral:rRNA from 1 species
CCCUUAGAUGUCCUGGGCCGCACGCGUGCUACAAUGGUCUUCGCAAACGGAUGCAUUCUCGAAGGAGAAUGCCAAUCUUGGAAUCUAUGCCUUGGUCGGGACAGUUGCUUGCAAUUUUUCGACUCGAACCAGGAAUUCCUUGUAAUCGUGAUUCAUCACAUCACGAUGAAUACGUCCCUGCCCUUUGUACACACCGCCCGUCGCUCCUACCGAUCGAAGAGUUAGGUGAAUUGUUUUGAUCGAUAAGAUUUGACUAUGGUCAACUCUCGUUGUGAAAUUCUGUGAAUCUGACUGUUUAGAGGAAGGAAAAGUCGUAACA